GACGAACGCUGGCGGCGUGCUUAACACAUGCAAGUCGAGCGGUAAGGCCCUUUCGGGGGUACACGAGCGGCGAACGGGUGAGUAACACGUGGGUGACCUGCCCUCAGCUCUGGGAUAAGCCUGGGAAACCGGGUCUAAUACCGGAUAUGACUCCAUGACGCAUGUUGUGGGGUGGAAAGCCUUGUGCGGCUGAGGAUGGGCCCGCGGCCUAUCAGCUUGUUGGUGGGGUGAUGGCCUACCAAGGCGACGACGGGUAGCCGGCCUGAGAGGGCGACCGGCCACACUGGGACUGAGGCACGGCCCAGACUCCUACGGGAGGCAGCAGUGGGGAAUCUUGCGCAAUGGGCGAAAGCCUGACGCAGCGACGCCGCGUGA
rnacentral:rRNA from 1 species